CAUACCUACCAAUUGUAAGAGACUAUCAAAGCCAUUAGUGUCUUAACAUUAUCCAUCUAUCUAUUUUGCCUCUGCGUGUGUGUAUAAAUAUAUAUAGUACUACUUAUAAUAUAGCAAAGAGCUCUGAACUGUCACACAAAUAAUUUGGCGGAGAGAGAAAGAUGAGCAACAAGGAAGCAGUCGCAAUGACAGAGUCAUAUCCGAUGGAAGGUGGAGAUGGCACUUACAGCUACACCAAGAACUCCACCUAUCAGGUGUUCGUGAGUUCCAGUCUUAGAGCUAGAUCGUGCUGAGCAGAUACAAUCAUUCACUCCACCGAUGCUGUCUGAUUUUGUUUCAUGUGUUUAGGCUUUGGUUUUAUUUCCAGUCAUUUGAGUUCAGUGGGAUAUUUUUGGGGUCCACUAGAUAGAUUCCCGAGUUGCAUAAUUUGGAGAACGAUUUGUAUUCGUGGAGGAUCAGUUGUAACAGAAUAGUUUUAUUUAUCAAUGGAAUUAUUUAUUCUGAGGUUUCAA